UCAGCUCCACCGGAAAAAGAGGAGUGGCGAACGGGUGAGUAACACGUGGGUAACCUGCCCAUCAGAAGGGGAUAACACUUGGAAACAGGUGCUAAUACCGUAUAACAAUCAAAACCGCAUGGUUUUGAUUUGAAAGGCGCUUUCGGGUGUCGCUGAUGGAUGGACCCGCGGUGCAUUAGCUAGUUGGUGAGGUAACGGCUCACCAAGGCCACGAUGCAUAGCCGACCUGAGAGGGUGAUCGGCCACAUUGGGACUGAGACACGGCCCAAACUCCUACGGGAGGCAGCAGUAGGGAAUCUUCGGCAAUGGACGAAAGUCUGACCGAGCAACGCCGCGUGAGUGAAGAAGGUUUUCGGAUCGUAAAACUCUGUUGUUAGAGAAGAACAAGGAUGAGAGUAACUGUUCAUCCCUUGACGGUAUCUAACCAGAAAGCCACGGCUAACUACGUGCCAGCAGCCGCGGUAAUACGUAGGUGGCAAGCGUUGUCCGGAUUUAUUGGGCGUAAAGCGAGCGCAGGCGGUUUCUUAAGUCUGAUGUGAAAGCCCCCGGCUCAACCGGGGAGGGUCAUUGGAAACUGGGAGACUUGAGUGCAGAAGAGGAGAGUGGAAUUCCAUGUGUAGCGGUGAAAUGCGUAGAUAUAUGGAGGAACACCAGUGGCGAAGGCGGCUCUCUGGUCUGUAACUGACGCUGAGGCUCGAAAGCGUGGGGAGCAAACAGGAUUAGAUACCCUGGUAGUCCACGCCGUAAACGAUGAGUGCUAAGUGUUGGAGGGUUUCCGCCCUUCAGUGCUGCAGCUAACGCAUUAAGCACUCCGCCUGGGGAGUACGACCGCAAGGUUGAAACUCAAAGGAAUUGACGGGGGCCCGCACAAGCGGUGGAGCAUGUGGUUUAAUUCGAAGCAACGCGAAGAACCUUACCAGGUCUUGACAUCCUUUGACCACUCUAGAGAUAGAGCUUCCCCUUCGGGGGCAAAGUGACAGGUGGUGCAUGGUUGUCGUCAGCUCGUGUCGUGAGAUGUUGGGUUAAGUCCCGCAACGAGCGCAACCCUUAUUGUUAGUUGCCAUCAUUCAGUU
rnacentral:rRNA from 1 species